rnacentral:pre_miRNA from 15 species
ACGGAAGAUCUAGUCAUGUCAGAGUAAUGUCAAAGUGCUUACAGUGCAGGUAGUGAUAUAAGAACCUACUGCAGUGAAGGCACUUGUAGCAUUAUAUUGACAAGUGCCACUGGAGAUCUU